AUGGCUCAUUAAAACAGUUAUAGUAUAUUUGAUAAUGUUUUUAUAUGGAUAACCGUUGGGAAACCAGAGCUAAUACAUGCUAAAAAACCUUUGGGUUGUAUUUAUUAGCUAUAAACCAUUACCUUCGGGUUUUGUGAGGAGUCAUAAUAACUGAUCGAAGCAUACUUGUGUAUGCUAAAUCUUUCUAGUUUCUGCUCUAUCAGUUUUGAUGGUAGUGUAUUGGACUACCAUGACUAUCACGGGUAACGGAGAAUUAGGGUUCGAUUCCGGAGAGGGAGCCUGAGAAACGGCUACCACAUCCAAGGUAGGCAGCAGGCGCGUAAAUUACCCAAUCCUGAUUCAGGGAGGUAGUUACGAGAAAUAUGGGAUCUGCUUUAUUGCAGAGGUUCAACUGGACUGAAUUUAAACCAUUCUAUGAAUACGAUUGGAGGGCAAGUCUGGUGCCAGCAGCCGCGGUAACUCCAGCUCCAAUAGUGUAUCUUAACGUUGUUGCAGUUAAAAAGCUCGUAGUUGAAUUUCUGGCUGGUUGUCUCAACCCUUGUGGUAGAGACUGAUUAGUCAUCCGCGUUAGAAACUAGCCCGGUGUUUAUUCACCAGUUAGUGAAAGACGCAUUUUACUUUGAAGAAAUUAGAGUGUUCCAAGCAAGCAUUGCAUGAAUAUUACAGCAUGGAAUAAUGGAAUAGGACAGAGUCAUUUUAUUGGUUAUCGACUUUGUAAUGAUUAACAGGGACAGUUGGGGGCAUUCGUAUUCAGUUGUCAGAGGUGAAAUUCGUAGAUUAACUGAAGACGAACUAAUGCGAAAGCAUUUGCCAAGGAUGUUUUCAUUAAUCAAGAACGAAAGUUAGGGGAUCGAAGACGAUUAGAUACCGUCGUAGUCCUAACUAUAAACUAUACCGACUAGGGAUUGGCAUAGGAUGUCCUAUGUCAGCACCUAAUGAGAAAUCAAAGUCUUUAGGUUCUGGGGGGAGUAUGUUCGCAAGAAUGAAACUUAAAGGAAUUGACGGAAGGGCACCACCAGGAGUGGAGCCUGCGGCUCAAUUUGACUCAACGCGGGGAAACUUACCAGGGCAAGACCUGAGAAUGAUUGACAAUUUGAGAGCUUUUUCUUGAUUACAGGG
rnacentral:rRNA from 1 species